UUCACAAGUCAUUCACAACAUUCGCAUCCGUGUUGUAUCGGAUAUACAAACUCGAGCCGACGUUUGUAUAUCCGAUACAACACGGCUGCUCAUGCUCUAAAUAUAUUGGCUGCACCAAAUAUGCCGUAUCAACCAAUGGUUGUUGUAUCGGAUAUACAAACUACCUCGUAGCUCAGUUGGUAGAGCAUUGGACUAGCAAACCAAAGCUCACGGGUUCGAUUCCCACUGCGGUCAAACAAACUUUUCAGCUUGCCCCGGUGUGGACACGCUCAGAGACAACAUCACAAACAUAUAUUUUCACCUGAGUACAUAACACCGGUCACCAGAAACAAGAAUUUAAUGCUAACAAAUUUCCAGAAAAAUUGAGUCGGGUUUUGGUGGAAAACAUCACUGAUCUGAAAUAAGACUGGAUAAAGCGUCCUAUUGAAUUCAGUAAUCCGAUUUUGAAGCCAGAAUAUUUUAAUCAGUCAAAUAAAUCAGUCAAAUUCAUGGCAGUAAACUCGAGCCGAAGGCGACUGGUUUGUAUAUCAGAUAAAGAUCGGAUGCGAAUGUUUUUAACGUGCUUAAAAACGACCCAUCUUAUAGUUCAUUGGCGAAGUAAUUUUAAAAAUAAACAUUGUCUAAGCCGAGAAAAUCAAAGCUGAAGUUUAUGUAAAUCAGGA